AGCCGGGCGACGGAGGUGAGCUGCCCUGAGGGGGCCCCUUCCAGAGGACAAGACAGAGCAGCGUCUCCCUGGCCCUUUAUCCUUCUUGGAAUGCCAGAGUCUCAGAGGCGUGCCACUCACCUCAAACCUGAGCCCACAGGUCCAGAGCCCCAAAGAUGGAGAGAACCAGGGUCCCUGCCCAGUCCGCCACCCCUGCCUCCCCCGCCGGGGACAACACCCCUCUGUUAUCUGCAGCUGACCCACAUGCACCUGAAUACUAGGACCUCAUCAUUGAGAGUAAACACAAAAGAGGUUAGACAGGCCGUCUCCAUGGAAAUAACUCCCACCUCCCUGCUGUCUAGCAGAGAGGAUUGACAUCAAUACCACUCAAUCACAGCAUUCUCUGUCUUCUUUGGAGCACUGAAAAGUUGGUGCCUCUAUUCACUGACCUGUAAACCCAGAACCACCCAAGUGCUGGGCAGAGUCGGGCUCCACAGACACUUCCUCCCCUGGAAUGACUGCCUGCUGACCAAGAGGGGGGACACAGUCAUUUCACAGUGGCUGCGGUGGCGGGCCGAGGGAUACAGCAAAGCCUCGUCUUACCAGGUCUGUGUUUUCUCUCCCACACGCCACACCCUUACACCUCCCGAGCUUGAGGAAAGGCUGAGGAGCAUCUCAUCACGUGGGCCCAGGUGUCGUGCUGGGAGAGAUGCUCACCCCAGGUCACCUGGAACAGCCCAAAAGGACAGGAAGGAGAAGCAAGAUACCCAGAAUCCCGUGCACAUAAGCCCUGGGGCAAGGAGUCCAGCAGCUCAGGCCCUGCUUACACAGAUGGCAGAGGCGCCCAAGGACUAGUGGAGGCAGGUAAGUGUGCCUCCAAGCUUCUGCCUGAGUGACGUCUGCCAGCACCCUAUUGGCCAGAGCAAGUCACAGAGUGAAACCCAGCUUCCAGGGACAGGGAAAUCUACCCGCCACUUAAUAGAAGGAGCUACAAAGCCCUCAGCAAAGGCGGAAGCCCUGAGGCCACUUAUGCAUGCAUUCCACCUGCACAGCCUCUGAGGCAGGAAUGGCAGCCGGAGGGAAAAUCAACGCCAGCAAUUCGAGAGACUCACCGGAGUCACCCGUUUCCAGGCGGCCCCUCUCUCUGCCGGUGUGCUCCUGGGCUCUGGGAACCAGCCCACAGGCGGCCGUGACCCAGUCCUCCGUCUCACACACACUAGGGGUCCAGCCUUCUUAUUCACAGUCUCGGAUCCUCAGGACCUGAAAAAGAAAGAUCACCAGCUCCAUUUUACGUAGGAGGAAACCUAGAGUCUGGAAACUUAAACGCCUCACCAAGAGUCCCCAGGGAAGGAGAGCAGCGCCCUGCGGGGACCCAAGCCUGCCUGAAUGCUCUGCUCAGGCCCCAGCCCUGCCUCUCAGACUCAGCUGCCAUCACUCUACAGUACUGAACUGGCAGGGCCCCUGGGGUCCUGCUUUGGAAGGCGGGGACUGUGAUCCCCCCGCCUGGAUUCAGACCUUACUUCUGCCAGCCCUGCACACACACUGGGCCUCCUGGGAACCCCACUCAGUUUCCUCGACUGUCAAGAAGGGACAAGGACAUUCCCAAUCGCAUCAUCACGUUGUGAGGCACCAUCCAGUUAUCCUGUGUGACCCCGGCAUGUUCAAACUCUGGAUAGAUACGCAACGAUCAUGCCGUUUAGAUUUCGGUGGGGAGACACAACUCGCAAAUCAUCAAAACUGGGAAUCUGUCAUCUGACUGCGUGUCCAAGGUUAGAACUCCAAGAAAGCGUGUGUGAUGAACAGCAGCACUGACCGCACUAUCCGAGAAGUUGCCCAGCCCCGUGGGACUGGGUGCCCAGGAGGCCUCCCGCUUUGUGGACUGGUCUCAGCUCCCCCAGACGAGAGCGUGUCCCAUCUCCUCACCAAGCCAGCCUCCACCGCGGGCUGGGAACAGACCUGGGGAGAGCAGCCUGGAAUGUUUGGGGCCUCCCGUCACUCCUGCCUGGACACCUCCGUGCAGAGGCGGCGAUGCGAGGCCACUGAAGAGUGGCCUCCAACCUCAUUUCUCCACACCACACAGAAGACGCUGGGCAAGUUUGUUUCUGAGAAGACAGGCAGGGAUUUGAGUUUCUGGCGCUUGUUUGCACAAAGGAUUUCAGCCGUCUUUCUCUUGACACGCAGCUUAAACACGUUAGCUGACCCUUAAAUGGAAUCUCCAUGAUGCCCCGGCUCCCUCCAAGAAAAUUUCAGGGCAGGGGGUGGGAGGGGGGAUAAAAUGCAUUGUGUCCUGUGGGCUUAUUUCUGGCACUGCCAGUUUAGGGUUGAUGACUCCAUGCCAACUGUGUCUCCUGCUUUAUUUGGGUGUCUUUUUCUCUUCUCCUUUACCUUUUAACUAAAACACAAAAUAAGCAUUUUGAUUGCCUUCAGCUCUUAAGAGGGAAGUACAUCUCACCCCCGCCCCCCAGCCCCUGGCUGUUUGCUGGCAGAGAUCAAACGUGAAUUUCUCAAAAAACAAAAAGUGGAAAGUUUACAAAUACAGGACUCAGAAUCUGCAACAGCGCACCAUCACUCCAAGUCAGGGAUGUGUAGCCCAACAUGCUUGCCGGCAACAAGGCUUCCCGUGCUCUUUCUGUAAACCCACAUGCAAAGAUGGUACCAGGGCCACUUUCUGCCCGUCUACCAGAAAAAAAAAAAAAAAAAACAAAAAAGAAAGCCCAGAAGAGACAAUAAUCUUUGCAUCAGCUGAGGCCCCAUCAGCCUGGCUGGCAAACUGAAACAUAAUAUUUUAGGCUGAAGUUGAUCACAUAGGUUUGCUGAAUUCAUUUUCUGAAAGUCUUGCCCCGAACAAAUUUAUUCACUUUCAUGAAGUCUGAAAGUGCUUUUUCUUGUUGGGUGUCUGAAACCUGAAAUAUUUUCAACUAAAUGAGAAAAUGUUCGCUGUUGAAUGACCUAUUAGAGCUGUCACAAACGUGAUUUCUGGAAAUAAACAAGAUCGUAAGAAGGUUGGCCGGAGCAGAAACGUAAGUCAGCGUUAAUAGGUGGUGUAAUUAAAUUAUCCCUUAAGCUAAGGUGCCAAGUGACACAGCUUUGUGUGUGUGAAUUCUAAUACAGUCACCUCCCUGGGCCUGCACAAAUCUGAAUGGACUUCUCUCCAGAAUCACUAAUUUUAUUUUCUUCGGUUUCUACGUAUCAAAUAGCUCUCUCUGUUCUGCUAGCUAACCAAAGUUCUUGAGACAGACAAGCCCAUAUUUUCUCGUAUCAUUUUACAGAGGUUCACUUGAUACAAACCUGGCUCCAUAAACAAUGUUUAUUUUUUAUGGUUUAGUAUCUUGCUCAAGAAAAUUAGAACUAAGUUUCAUGAAGAUUUAUUUUCAUUUUAACUAUAUUGUUCACUGGCCACUGCCACUCAAUACUUAAAUGACUUUCUCCCCAAAGGGCAACAUCUUUAAAGCGGAACAGAGUUUAUUUAAACAGCUGGUUUUUUGCACAAUCAUUUUAUUAAUACAUAGAUUGAAGUCAUGAAUAGUCGGUAUCUUGCUCAGUUUGUAAAUACAUACAGGAAUAAAAGCUGGCAUAUCAUUCAAUUAAAUUCUUAAAGAGCAACACAUGAUUAAUUGCUACCAGUAGGAUGAAGUCAUUGUACUCUGCUGCAUCUACAUAUUUCUAUGUCUUUAAAUAGCAUUUCACACUUGGAGUAAAAUGAAUUCCUGCCUAUCUCCCCGCCAAGGACAAAUGAUAACAUCAUUUUUAGGAAAAUAAAUAAAUCUUUUUGUUGCUAUUGUUGAAUUCCAAUUUGUUUAAAAUAAUUAUCAACAUGCACCCUAUUUCUUUUUAAAUUAAAAUAAGAUAUGGCAAAUUAUUAUAUAAAUCAAAUUAAGGAAUCAUGUUGUCCCACGAAGAAUCAAAACACUGAAAUUUCCAAAAAAUAUUUAAAAGUCAUUUUAACGUUAAAUAUGUUAAAGGACAUGCUCAUCGUUAUUGAGAUUCUCUCUAGCAAAGAAGUGGGGAGAGAAAAAUGUUUGCUUGUUUUUGGAAUAAAGUAGAAACUUUUCCAGUGGGAGAAGAGUUUCAUUCAUGGGAGAUGGAGGUUUAAAAUCUUUAAGAAGCUGGUGAUACCAUUUAGCAGGUGCUGAUAUAAUGAAAUACAAUGUCCAGGGUGGGAGUCCCACGUGCAUUCAUCACUUUCAAAAGGAAAAGACUUUCUCGAGAAGGUGAGACUCUGGUAUCACUAUCUGUACAUGCCCAAUUUUAACUGGUCAUUUGUACACAAAUAAGAUUCUAUGCAAUACUGUAACAAGUGCAUUCUUCAUGAACAUUACAGAAGAACCAUGAGGAGAUCUUCUACUUGACAAAACAUAGAUGGGCAACAGAUAAAAUAUUGAAAUAGCUGCUAACCAUCUUCCAUUUUCAUUCUGAACAUUUCCAGAAGGUGUUUGUGCUUUCGCUGGGUGCUGCCUCACACCAUUUCGGGAAGAGAUCACUGGAUGGGCUCCGAAGAGGGGAAGGGGUUCCUGACACAACUGGGACUAAAUUUUAGUCUCUAUCUUCCCCACCCCCACCCCGUGGGUCACUCUAGAAGUAACAUCGCCAUCUGCUGGACACUGAAGGAACCUCCCCAAGAGGGGGAAGGUUUCUGUUUCGGCAAUCCACAUUAGACCACUUACAAAAUGUAUUUAACAUGUACAAGGCCACCACUUCGGAGACAGGACAGCAAGAACAAAAUAAUCAAAAAGUGCAGGAAAGUGGCAAUAUCCAUUUUGCACAAACUGGUCUGUAGCAGUUUUGAAAACUGGUUCUCCUCAAUCCCCCCUUCCCAGGCAACAACCCCCAGAGAAGGUGAAAAAAGAAAGACAACUGCCAUUUUUAAUUUCUAAGAGUUAUGAAUUUCUAGAAUGAAAGGUUUUUUUGUUUGUUUGUUUGUUUGGUCACCAGUCAGCCCCCACCUUUUUCUCUCCACACUUUCUCAGGGCUGAACUGUGGGGGGAGGUGAGCAUGCAUGCACAUGCGUGCGCUUGCACACACACACACACACACACACACACACACACACGCACACACUAUUCCUUUGCAGUUCUUUAAUCUAACAAGGCUUCGGGAACACAAGAGCACAAAAACUGGGAUAACCCAAAUAUUAUUCUAAACUCUUUUUUCAGGCACUUAAGCAAAACAACUACCAUUUUUGAAGUUUAUAUAACUUUUCCUUAUAA